UAAGACAGGAGGAGAGGUUUAAAUUCUAUACAUCUCAUGUUCCACAGCAAGGACCCCAGCUCAAUCAACAAUUUCUCUGAUAAAGGAGAAGAAAAACUUG